ACUGAACAGAAGUCAGAAGAUAAGGAUCUCACAAAAAUUAAAGUUUCAGACAGCACAAUGCAGAAAAGAGAAAAUUCUGUGAUAUCUCAGAAAACUUCUAGUCCAUUAGAAGCCGAAAAUAAUCAUGUAGUUUUGGAAUUUGAAACGAAUGAGCAUAAUUCAAAUGAAGAAAGUGAGGAAGGUGACUUCAUAUUUGAAAAAAGAGUGCCAUUUGAAGCAUUUGAUGAAAGCUCUGAUCAGUUUAAGACUGGUAAACCUGAGAAAGAGAGUGAAGAAGUUAUUUUUUGUGAACCAGCAGCGCUGUUUUGUUAUACGUCAAGAGAGGGAAAUGUGCGAGGUGUUGGAGAUAUAAAAGUUCUCUUUAAUGGAGUAUCUAAGAAAGCUCAUUUGGUGAUGCGAAAAGAACAUGUAUUAAAAGUAUGCUUAAACCGCUACAUUGUCAAAGAAAUGUCAUUUGAAUGGUGGGAUGAAAAAUCUAUGAAAUGGGCUGCAAUAGACUUUUUCAACAACAAACCAUCGUGUGAGAUAUUUGCUGUGCAAUUUGAAACCAGUGUUUUGGCAUAUAAAUUUAAAGAAGCUAUAGAGUAUGCAAUGAAACUGAUAAAAGAAGCAGAAAUUUCUGGUGAUCAGACUCCUAGGACCACAGAAGAUUUAGUUAACUUGCCAAUUAGAAGUAACUUUUCCAUUAAGACAAAUUCUCCCUUUACCGAGUCUGUUUCAACAUGUCUUGGAGAAACGUGGCAGGAUAAACCAUUCUUUGGCAACUCACGUUUGGCAAAUUUUUCAGAAGAAACAACGUCUGUUUUCUCUCCAGGACUUGAAUUAUCCUUGAAGAAUAAAUUUACAGCAUUCCCUGCUUUCACCCAGCAUUCAAAUUUUAGUGCUAACAAUUCCAAACCAGUUUUUCAAAGUUUUGGUUUUAAAUUUGAAACAGAUGAUUUUGCUGAUGAAGGGAAACAUUCCAUACUCACUGAGGAGGGUAUAGUAUUAGAUGAUUCUGCUGAUGAAGAGAAACAUUCGUUAUCUACUGAGAAGAAUUAUUCUGCUGAUGAAGGGAAACUUUCGUUAUCUACUGAAGAGAAUAUAGAUGAGUCUCCUGAUGAUGGUAAGCACUCGUUACCUAAAUUUUCAGAAAUCAAUGAGUGUAGCCUACAUAGUGAAAAUUCAAAAGAUACAUGUAUGACAUUUGUAAAGAGUGCUGUAUUUUCGGAUUUAUCUACUCAUUCUACUUUUGAGGACAUAUCUAAACCGUCAUCUGCAAAAAAUAUUUCUUUUAGUGAUGAAAAUUUGUUUGUCUCGUCAGCAGAUGCUUCCAGAUUAGCAGAUGCUUCUACUGUGACUAGUGAAGGAUAUUAUAGAAACUUUUAGAAAGAACUGUAGAAAGUGAAAUGCCAACUUCAUCUAGAAAACCACUGGAAAUUGUAAGAACAAUUGAAUUGAAAAGUACUGAUCAGAACCUAUUAGCAUUUUCACGAACCUGAGACUGCAGUUGAAGAACUACUGAUGAGUACUACAAAACAAACAAGAAUAACUUCACGACAUCUUCGAGGUGAUGGGAUAUGAUAAGUUCUAACUUACGUGUUCAGUCCUGGUAUAUUUUAAAAAUUAUCUUGUACGAUGUGUAAAAAAUUUUCAGUUCUUAAGACUAUUAAAAUUAAUUCCCGCAUUGCCCCAACUGGUGAUCUACCGAAUUUCAUCAGUUUUAUACUAGGUGGCGCCACCUCUUUUUCGAACUAAUUUGUUUGUAAAAGUGAUGUUUGUUGUUAUCAUUUCUUUCGCAUGCAAUUUUUCCAUUGAAUUUGCAAAUAGUUUUUAAAAUGCUGUCUUCAAAGCUUUGUUAUCAAUUUACUCUCAAAUAGAAAUGUUUUUCAUGUUUGCAUUUCAAAGAGUUGAAAUAAGAAGCAAAUGCAAUAACUGGAAGAAAAAAAUGCAUAAAAACAACAAUUUUAGUGACGUCACCUAUCAACCUGUUGAGUAACUAGACAGUUAAGUAAGAUAGAUCAGCUAUUGGGAGAAUACCUUAAUUUCAAUUUAUUUUUCCAUCUUUUGUCUGUAAAGUUUGAUCUCAUGUGUUUAAUAAACUUAUCUAAAGGACAAUCUAAUUUUAAUGAUCUGAACAAUCUGAGUUCAGUUUGUGAAUAUUGUACAGUGUCCAAUUAAUUAAAAAAAAAACUGCAUUUUA
rnacentral:misc_RNA from 1 species